GCGGAUAUGGUGCAUGGUGCACGAUUGCCUCAGUAUUUCGCCCUCGCCACUCUGCCAGUGAAGCGAUCGAUCAGGGUUCGAUUCCCUGCGUCCGCA